AACGUAGGAGGCGAGCGUUAUCCGGAUUUACUGGGUGUAAAGCGCGUGCAGGCGGCCGGUCAAGUUGGAUGUGAAAGCUCCUGGCUCAACCGGGAGAGGACGUUCAAAACUGACCGGCUGGAGCAUGGUAGGGGAAGGUGGAAUUCCGGGUGGAGUGGUGAAAUGCGUAGAGAUCCGGAGGAACACCAGUGGCGAAGGCGGCCUUCUAGACCAUGUCUGACGCUCAGACGCGAAAGCUAGGGUAGCAAAC
rnacentral:rRNA from 1 species